CCGGUGCCAGCACUGACGUGAACCCUGCGGCUCUGGAAGGACUCAAACCGGCCCCACAGCACCGCAGGGACAGCGUGGGGCCACCCCUGCCCCACAGCCCCCUCCCCACACCCCCAGAGAGCCCGGCAGGGGAGAAACAAAGAGACUUCAAAGAGAGCCCAACUUUUCAGGGAAGGCUGUGGCCAGCAAUGACACCAAAACAGCUGGAGAAUAUCCACAGGAGUUCAGCUCAAAAACUUCCCAAGGGAAGUUUUGGACCCUCCAAGCUGAGGCUGGGUUUCAGCCUCAAGCACUGCAUUUCAGAGGGACCUGGUGUGUGUUGUGCGGGGGAAAAAAUCCCUCAGACAGCUCAGGGCUGUGGCUAUCUAGGGCAGAAAGAGCCAGAUCCAGAGAUCAGCCUCAUCACCCCGGAGCUGCACUGAGCUGGCAGAGCCAGACCUGCCCCACGAGGCAGGUGGGGCAGGGAUGAGCACACUCUCCCCUCUCUGACUGUCCUACAGCUGCUGAAGUACUGCUGGCCAAAAACAUCAUCUGUGUUCCUGCGAAGUAAAUGAAAAAUGCCGCAAAAAUGAGAAUA